rnacentral:rRNA from 1 species
AUUGAACGCUGGCGGCAGGCCUAACACAUGCAAGUCGAACGGUAGCACAGAGGAGCUUGCUCCUUGGGUGACGAGUGGCGGACGGGUGAGUAAUGUCUGGGGAUCUGCCCGAUGGAGGGGGAUAACUACUGGAAACGGUAGCUAAUACCGCAUAACGUCGCAAGACCAAAGUGGGGGACCUUCGGGCCUCACACCAUCGGAUGAACCCAGAUGGGAUUAGCUAGUAGGUGGGGUAAUGGCUCACCUAGGCGACGAUCCCUAGCUGGUCUGAGAGGAUGACCAGCCACACUGGAACUGAGACACGGUCCAGACUCCUACGGGAGGCAGCAGUGGGGAAUAUUGCACAAUGGGCGCAAGCCUGAUGCAGCCGUGCCGCGUGUAUGAAGAAGGCCUUCGGGUUGUAAAGUACUUUCAGCGGGGAGGAAGGGAUGAUGGUUAAUAGCCACUGUCAUUGACGUUACCCGCAGAAGAAGCACCGGCUAACUCCGUGCCAGCAGCCGCGGUAA